rnacentral:rRNA from 1 species
GACGAGGGAUCCUAGCGUUGUUCGGAAUCAUUGGGCGUAAAGCGGGUGUAGGCGGGCUUAUAAGUCAGGUGUGAAAUCCCAGGGCUCAACCCUGGAAGUGCACUUGAUACUGUAAGUCUUGAAUGUGGUAGAGGUUACUAGAAUUCCUGGUGUAGUGGUGAAAUACGUAGAUAUCAGGAGGAAUACCAGAGGCGAAGGCGGGUAACUGGGCCAACAUUGACGCUGAGAUCCGAAAGUGUGGGGAUCAAACAGG